rnacentral:lncRNA from 1 species
UGUUUGUGGGAUCGAUCAAGAGGGAGAAGCCAAGAACAAACCCUAACUUUCAGAAAAUCACAAGAUUAGGAAGGAAUUAAGGGCCUAAAUUGAUGCAUGAGCUCCAAUCUUUAACUAUCUAAGCUUGUUCAACACAAGGUAAGUCGAAAAUUCUGAUUUGAUGAUUUGCGUUAAGGAAGAAAGUUCGAGUCAAGUGAAGCAACAAGGGGAUCAAGACCGAGGUAAAUCUCAUGUCUAGCUAUCAAGCUCCGCCCGGUUCGAACACGCCUCAAGCCCGUCAAGCGUUCCGCAUUUUGUAAAAGUCAAUGUUUAAUACUUUGUCACUUAUGUUUUCGUCUAGUAGUUAAACCUAGUUUUAUUAUGUUUGUCUUUUGAAGAACUUGUCGUAAGUACGUACAUAAACUUGAUGGUUUUGCAAGUAAAAUAUGGUAUGUUUUGACGUGUAUGUUGUGUCUUUCGAAUGAUUUUGGAUCAUGUAAAACAGGGGACCGCUCGUUUUUCAAACGGGUCAUGCCCAAUUUUCGUUAGAAAAGUACGUUGUUAUUUAAUAAAUAAAAAAGAAAAUUAUGGACGUUAC